rnacentral:rRNA from 1 species
AGCGAACGCUGGCGGCAGGCCUAACACAUGCAAGUCGAACGAACCUUUCGGGGUUAGUGGCGGACGGGUGAGUAACACGUGGGAACGUGCCUUUAGGUUCGGAAUAACUCAGGGAAACUUGUGCUAAUACUGAAUGUGCCCUUCGGGGGAAAGAUUUAUCGCCUUUAGAGCGGCCCGCGUCUGAUUAGCUAGUUGGUUGAGGUAAUGGCUCACCAAGGCGACGAUCAGUAGCUGGUCUGAGAGGAUGAUCAGCCACAUUGGGACUGAGACACGGCCCAAACUCCUACGGGAGGCAGCAGUGGGGAAUCUUGCGCAAUGGGCGAAAGCCUGACGCAGCCAUGCCGCGUGAAUGAUGAAGGUCUUAGGAUUGUAAAAUUCUUUCACCGGGGACGAUAAUGACGGUACCCGGAGAAGAAGCCCCGGCUAACUUCGUG